AGAAGAUUAGACCCUCUCAUUCUCUAUCUCAUCCUCUUCUCUCAUGGUUGAAAAAUAUUCUUAAGUUCAAUACAGAGUUUAGUAUAUCACUGGAGCAAAUGAUAGAUGAAUCUUUCAUUUAAAAACGGUCUUGGAGUAGACUGUGAAUGCAGCUAAUGAGUAUAAGGUUUGAGUGCAUCGAGGUCCAAGAAUGAACAAGGAAGAAAAUCACUGCUCACUGGUAUGUCUUAUGAAUUCUUGUGAUGAGGAGUUAGCUUUGACAGGAUGGGGUACCUUGGACUGUGAUGUUGUAGUAAUCUUGCACAGACUGAAGCAUGUUUUUUCUCUUUGCAUAUUGGUAAGCAAUCUAGUUGAUAUUUUCUUUUAAUUAGUGUUCGUUAUCUGAAUGUCAACUGCCAUUACAGGACGUUAAUUUUCUUCUUAGUGAUUUUGCUUGAGCUUUGUUGUUCCUAUAUUUACUGUUGAGAUACAAGUCAUGUUGUCUACUAUGCUCUACAACUGUACAUUUCAAAGUCAUUUUCAACUCUAAGCUGGUUUCUCAUAGCAUAACAAGAACAUGCAGCUAUGAAACAUCUGUUGAUCGACAAACUUCACAAGGAGAUAAGUGUACAUCAAUCCUUACCUUUGUUUAUCUUAUAAUGCUUGUUUUUGAAUGCAAAUUGUACUCAAUUGCAAUGACAUGAUGUAGAUUAUCUUUUAAACUUGAGCUUGAUUUCUAUAAACUAUUAAGUGUCAUUUGAUCUCUUCUUUACGGUUGCAGUACUUCUGAAAUUAGGACUUGCAUUUUAAGAGCAUAAAUAUUUAUCAAUUCCCCAAAAUUAUUCAUGUAGUUCAUUGCAGGUACUGCUUUGCUUAAAGUGGGUGGAAGAAUGGUAUACUCAACCUUUGAUAUUCUGAUAUCUAUGAUUGUUAUUCAUGUACACUUCUAGAUAGAGAUUCCUGGAUGAUUAAUGUAGCGAUAUAACUGAUACUAUUGUGUAUGAGGUAUAUAACAUCAUUUAAUUGGCAUUUGUAUAGCAGGUCCGUGAUAAGGGUGUAGGGUUAUCUUUUUACAAAGAUGUGUCUACGUACCAUAGAACUGCCACUGCGACUAAGCAUCUUCCGGUCAAAGCUCUGGUGCCGAGACAAUGGUUCCUUCGGGUUUAGAUGAAAAUGUAGUUCCUCUUGGAAAUGACAAUCAGAUGGAGAAUGUGGAGGAGAAACGUCAAAAUGUCUGUAAUGCAGUUUCUAAUCAUGUCACCAAGAAGUGUGAGAUCACUGCGAGUCCAACUGAUACUUAGGAAAUGGGCUCGAUGUAAAAAGAGUGAAGUUCGAAGAUGGUUAUGUAAAGGAAACCGUUAAUAGCAAAGAAGAGCACAUUCAUUGCACUUAGGUUCAGACUGUAGGCGGACUGAUCAAUCUGCUGACUUGGAUGAAGAUGAGAUAGUACAUGAAAGCACAUCAUAACUAAUCAGUCUUUAGAAGUUAUUGGUAAAAGAUCUGUGUAUUCAUUAUUACAUCAGUCGUAACAAUCAUUCGAGUGGACUGACUCUUUUGUUUCGGGGAAACUCGCAUAUUAAUGAAGCUGGUUAUACUU